UGCGCAUGCGUGGGGUUUGUAAACAACCGUGUCCGGACAUUCGUGUUAUGGCUUUCCGCGGCUUAAAGCGAAGUGACUCACGGUGCAAUGAAUACGUCUGCCGGGUGGAUGACACUCCCGGGAACACGGCGACAAGCUGUUCGAGGUACUACUGCUCGUAUGCUGCUGAUGGAUGCUCCGAGCGCUGUUUCGAAGGCUGCUUCAAGAGAUUCAGUAACCGAGAGGCUCAGCGAUGGUGUCGGAGUGAUAAUUCGAUAUUAAUCAUCGCAUCACAAUUGAUAUGUACAAGAUGGCGCCACUAUAAACACUCGCCUGCGCCAUAACGGGCUGGGCCGACCAUCAGGCCCCACCGCGAAGAAGACUUGGGCCGACCAUCAGGCCCCACCGGGAAGAAGCCUACUGGCGCAAU